rnacentral:rRNA from 1 species
GAUGAACGCUGGCGGCGUGCCUAAUACAUGCAAGUCGAGCGGUAACACUUCGGGUGACGAGCGGCGGACGGCUGAGUAACACGUAGGAAUCUACCCCAGACUGAGGGAUAAGCACCGGAAACGGUGUCUAAUACCGCAUACGCUCUAAGGAGUAAAGCUUCGGCGGUUUGGGAAGAGCCUGCGCAUGAUUAGCUUGUUGGUAAGGUAACGGCUUACCAAGGCGACGAUCAUUAGCUGGUCUGAGAGGAUGAUCAGCCAGACUGGGACUGAGACACGGCCCAGACUCCUACGGGAGGCAGCAGUAGGGAAUUUUCCACAAUGGGCGAAAGCCUGAUGGAGCAACGCCGCGUGCAGGAUAAAGGCCUUAGGGUUGUAAACUGCUUUUAUAUGUGAAGAUUAUGACGGUAGCAUAUGAAUAAGGAUCGGCUAACUCCGUGCCAGCAGCCGCGGUAA